rnacentral:lncRNA from 1 species
GAAUCUUUCAAAGAAAAGAUUUCCCACAUUCCUAACUAACUAGUAGGAGUCAGGGUUAACUUGGUCAAAGGAAGUGCGACUCUAGAAACCUUAAUAGCUGCAUCAUCUUCACCAAAAGUUACACAGUUAUUUCCUAUCUUGAUUUCCCAGUGAGGCUGACUUUCUCUCCAUUCACACCCUCAAGAUGGAAGUGAAGUGAAGAUUUAACGUGGAUACAUUUUACCUCUCAAGCAAAACACCCCCUUCCACUAAGACCGCCUGACCCAAGAGGACUCUGAUAUUGCCCUGCCAACAUGGAACA